rnacentral:rRNA from 1 species
GUGGGGAAUAUUGGACAAUGGGCGAAAGCCUGAUCCAGCCAUGCCGCGUGUGUGAAGAAGGUCUUCGGAUUGUAAAGCACUUUAAGUUGGGAGGAAGGGCAGUAAGUUAAUACCUUGCUGUUUUGACGUUACCGACAGAAUAAGCACAGGCUAACUUCGUGCCAGCAGCCGCGGUAAUACGAAGGGUGCAAGCGUUAAUCGGAAUUACUGGGCGUAAAGCGCGCGUAGGUGGAUUUGUAAGUUGGAGGUGAAAUCCCCGGGCUCAACCUGGGAACUUCCUCCAAAACUGCAUGACUAGAGUACGGUAGAGGGUAGUGGAAUUUCCUGUGUAGCGGUGAAAUGCGUAGAUAUAGGAAGGAACACCAGUGGCGAAGGCGACUACCUGGACUGAUACUGACACUGAGGUGCGAAAGCGUGGGGAGCAAACAGGAUUAGAAACCCGGGUAGUCC